CAGAACGAACGCUGGCGGCAGGCCUAACACAUGCAAGUCGAGCGCCCCGCAAGGGGAGCGGCGGACGGGUGAGUAACACGUGGGAAUUUUCCUCAAGGUACGGAACAACUCAGGGAAACUUGGGCUAAUACCGUAUGAUGCAGAGAUGCCAAAGAUUUAUCGCCUUGGGAUAAGCCCGCGUCAGAUUAGGUAGUUGGUGGGGUAAUGGCCUACCAAGCCUGUGAUCUGUAGCUGGUCUGAGAGGACGAUCAGCCACAUUGGGACUGAGACACGGCCCAAACUCCUACGGGAGGCAGCAGUGGGGAAUCUUGCGCAAUGGGCGAAAGCCUGACGCAGCCAUGCCGCGUGAAUGAUGAAGGUCUUAGGAUUGUAAAGUUCUUUAGCCUGUGACGAUGAUGACGGUAACAGGAGAAUAAGCCCCGGCUAACUUUGUG
rnacentral:rRNA from 1 species